rnacentral:rRNA from 1 species
CCCUUAGAUGCUCUGGGCCGCACGCGCGCUACACUGGUCGAUGCAACGAGUUUCUUUCCUUGGCCGACAGGCCUGGGCAAUCUUUGAACAUCGAUCGUGAUCGGGAUAGAUUCUUGUAAUUUUUGAUCUUAAACGAGGAAUUCCUAGUAAACGCAAGUCAUCAGCUUGCAUUGAUUACGUCCCUGCCCUUUGUACACACCGCCCGCCGCACCUACCGAUUGAAUGGUCCGGUGAAAUCUCCGGACUGGCGUGAGUCGGAGCAAUCUGACAAACACCGGAAAGUUGAUUAAACCUUACCAUUUAGAGGAAGGUGAAGUCGUAACA